rnacentral:misc_RNA from 1 species
CAAGGACUUGUAAAAUUAUGAAAAUAAUUGAGAAAUAUUUGAAAUUGAGACAAAUGGUAUUUCUAUUUCUAAUCAAUAAUAUAUUAAAAAUUUAUGAUGGAUGUGCACACAACAAAGUGAAGUCAAGUUUUUCCAAUUUCCCCCCUUUUAUAUUUGUAUUACCCCCAUGCCAACAGCUAAGAACCUCAUACAAGAUCUCGUUAUUAGACUUUAUCAUCUAAUUUCUCAUUUACAAGGGGAAGCAAUUCCAUCCGAUUCCUCGGAGUCCGGGGUGUUCUCGGUGUUCCUGGUGGUGGUGGCUGUUGGGAGAGCAUGUGCCUUACAUACCCGUAGAAUGUACAUCCCAGGAGUGUAAUACCACAUCCAACUGCGUUCAAAGCUGAAAUUGGGUUGCGGAAAAUUAACCAUGAAACCAUGACAGCAACUGCGACCUGUAUAGAAUCAAUCAACACACAACUAUGAAAUGAAUUGACAAUAACAUAAUUGGUUCAUGUUAUAACAUGCAGAUCUACGCAAGUAGACAUGUUUUAGCCGAAGAAACAGCAGCAUGGAAGAGGCAAAACAAUUGUUAGUACACAUAAAGCAAGAGAAAUUUGCAAACAACCCAGGAAUAGAUGCACCAUCUAGGAGUCGAUGUUGAAAAAACUUAUAAAUAAAGAACUUCAAAUGACAUGUAAGGGCAUUCAUAGGGCCACGUUAAAAAUUUAAAAGCUAUUUGAUGCAAUGAGUACGUUUAAAUCUUGACAAUGCUCAUGAAAGAAUAGAAUUGCCCAUAGACAUACAAUUUUUCUUAAUUGGUCUUACCUUAAGGUUUCCAGCAACAUUGAAUGUAACUGCAGUUGUGGAAUGAAUCACGUAAAAGAUGGAGAAGUUAAGACAGAAAGCCACCACCCCAGAGCUGAAAAUGAUGACAAGGGAAGACCAGACAGAUUGGUGAGUGUAAAACCAAUCUACAACCCCAUUACCUUCAAGUAGUAUUGCUGGUACUCCCAGGAUCAUGGUUGCGAAAGGCGCCAUGUAGUACACCGUGUUAAUGCUGUCAAAUUUGUAUCCAUGCAGCAGAGAUUCUGCAAGGAUUGUCUUCGUCGAAGUGGCCAAACAUCCAAAUAAGGCAGCACAAAAUCCAAACAUGUUAAAACUAAGCUCAGUAACAGAAGUAAGGAGUAUUCCUCCAACAAUAGGUACUAAAGAAGCCCAAAUUCUCCAAUCAAAGUAUUUUCUCCAGACCAACCACUGCAAAACAACUGUGGUUGCAGGAGUAAAUGACUUGAUUGUUUGCAUAAAUGAAACUGGAAUGUAACGUAAGCUCACAUUCCCCAAAACUAUGUUGAUACAGAAUACAAAUGACAUAGGAAAUAUCCUUCGCCAGCGAUCUUCAGGGUCAACCACUAUUAGUGGUUUAAGCUUCAACACCUUGAUUACAAGAUAAGCUCCAAUGGAUGAGCAUAUGAAGUGAACACAAGAUACUGAGAGUGGAAACUUGAAAUCCAAUUUCUGUACAAAUAAACCAUAUCAAAUUUAUAGAGCUCCAAUAAUGACCAUAAACAUCAAGCAAGCUUGUUCUCAAGAAUAUAAAACUUUCAAGCAAACUAGUCAACAAGUUAACAAAAACUCUUCACUCCAACAACAGUAGGACAUAAUAUUAGUGACCCAAAUCCUAGUCAACAGUCACUUUCUAACCAAAAAAACUAAUUGAUUGGUCAAAGGUUAACCAGAUAGUUCCUUGGCAGCAAAAAGGAACUAGCCAAGGACCAAAUAAGAAAACAAUGAAAUUCACACCAAAAGAAGAAAGAAAUAAAAAUAAAACAUCAAGUAUGAUAUAUCCAGCAAGGCAAUAAUACCAAACUAAGAUUGAUGUCAUUUUACAACUCCACAGUUAACAUUUUAAAACCCAUUAUCAUGCCAACACAAGCCCAGUCCACAUCUAGCAUUUCAUAACUAAUUUGGCAGUGCGGAAUCUCAAAUAAAAAUAAAGAAGACAAGAUCUUGAAAGCAUCCAAGCUAUCAACGUGCAUCUUCCCGAUCCAUAAAACAAACAAAAGCAACAGAAGCAAACAAGGUAUCUAGGUUAUGGAUAUAGCCAUCUAAAAUAAUGAUUACCCUUCUGUUUUAAUGUCACAACCUACUCCUCUCCCACCAACUGACAAGCUACCCCAAAGGGUAAAAUAAAGCCAAUAAGAAAAAUAACAAAACUGGAUUUCACUCUUUCUCCCUAUUGUCAACAUACACCACCCAGAUGAAUUCAUUUUACAUAAAUAGGCAGCAAAUAUUAUAAUCUUCCAUGAAACACUGUUAACCAAAUUCUUAGCACUGUACACGUUCCUAUGAAACAUACACCACCUAGAUCUGUUCUUUGUUGGCUAAAUAGAUUGAAGCAUUGCUUUGCAGCCAAUCAUGAAAAGGUGCAAACGGAAAUGACAGCCUAGCUGUCAGUCAUUUUCUCCAUAUAAUGAUGCAAAAUUCUCCUGCCAGAAGCAACAGCUUGCCAAAGAUGCAAAAAGCUUUCGAGCACCAAAAUAAUUGAAAAUAAAGAGAUAGGCAACCUGAUGACCAGCUCAACUGUAACUGUAACCACCACAUCUAGCACUUUGUCUGCUUAUGUUCCAAUAUGUCAAGCCUGUAUGCCAAAUAUUUAUAUCCAUCUGAAAGAUCCACUUGUUCAUGAUAAUCACAGUAACAUUGAAUCCCCACCACUGAAUAAUAGCAAGCAGAGAUCUGAACACCGUCCACUGACACAGAACACUCUCCUCCAUCUCUAUACGCCUCUCUGUUUCUCUCUCUCUUCCCUCUUAAAAUCACCCAAAAAGUGCAAAAAAAAUCCAAAAAAAAAAACUGUAAGUAGAUAAAGAGACUUAAAAGCAAAACGGGUCUAAUAGGGAGAGAGAGAGAGAAACCAAAAGGAAAAUAAAGGGGAAAAGAUUGAAACUAAAACUACGAAACACCCUAAUGGCCUAUUGAGAAUAACAAUGUGAGGGAGGGCGUAUCAGAGCAGGCAGGUCUUCUUCCAUGUGAUCUGGGCAUUCAAUUUGUUUGAAACGUCUCUUUCUAUUUUCUCUUGCUUAUGGUAAUGGUAAGGUGGGAAUGCUAGCAAUGGGAAAUUUCUAGUUCUCAUUCCAUUUGGC